UUCACCUCUCCCAAAACAAACUAACCUUCAACUAAACCUGCUCCGGACCAGGUUACGUUCAGAGCAUAUGUUACACGGUUCAAAAUGAUGGGCCAACUCACUCUCUGUGCAACAUGUUUAAUUUUGAAAAAAAAAAAACCCGCAAAAUAUACAAAAUCACAGUCAAAAAGAGCGCACUUCGUCAUAUAUUCUGCUGACUCACCAAUUCCUGACUUGGCUUCUUCUGCUGGUCAGCUACUGACGUAUACGCAUAACUCUGCACGAUUAACACAUACAACACAACUUCUGCACUGUUUCAUACAGAUUACAUAACUUUUAAGAGUAAACAAAAAUUCCAAAAUGCAUUUCACUCCAUUGGCAGACACUUAAACUCCUAACAUAAGAACUUGCGUUUUUUUCCACACAACUAAAACGACCGUAAGCAUAUUACAAAAUCUUGUGAUAAAUUCAAACUCCUGUACCUGCUCAGUGACUGCAUUAAACACUGGUAUAACUCCGCAUAUGCGUUAGUAGUGAUGGGACGAGCGACACUGGUGCAUCAGCACAGUGCCGAGAGCUCAAGAGGGAAACCUCGUAUCGGUGCGUGUAUUGCUUUAAGAAAGAAUCACGUGACCGAUACAGGAACUGUAUCGUUUGGAUGUGCCGCGCCAAAGUGUGUUUAUCAGGAAAACUGUAUCAACAUGUCGUGGGUUUGUCGGAUGGAGUUUUGCUUGAUCAAUGAUCGUCCUAGGAAGUUUUCCCCGGUGUGGAAUAAUUUUGAUCUUGUGACGCCAAACAAGGUAAAUCUUUUUCUCCUUUAUAUACUAUUUUUUAAGGUGGCGCAUUGGAUUCACUCACUUUAUCAGUUUAUCAAGUGAAUGACCUGUGAUACAUAUGAUAGUCAGUUAAGAGCCUUACAGUUGCUUUAUUCAGGUUAUCAUGUAAUUAUGAGAUCCUGAUCUCGUAAUCAUGAGAUAGGCUGUCUAUUUUUUUAAUGCAAUGUUCUGGUAAGAGGUUUGAAUUGUUUUCAGAUAAAUUAACUUUUUAUGUUAUUGAAGGUGAAAUGUCGGCUCUGCUCCACCGAGCUAUCUUAUAUCAAUAAGAGCACUUCAUCAAUGCUGAGGCAUUAUAGAGCUCGGCAUGGCAAUGAAGAAUUGGCAACUACUCGUGAGAGUACCCCAGUUCCUAACAAGCAAGCAGUGGAUAAGGCAGUGGUCAAUAUGAUCAUCAAAGACUGUCAGCCACUCAGCUUUGUUGAAAAUGAGGGCACAAUCUCUGGAAAACGUUAGAUAUGGAGGUUGCAGAGACCUAGAAGACGAGGAACGUAACAGCUGAUUCCAUUAUUGAAGUCCAACGGUACCUGGCAGAAACAAACACACCCAGAAACCAAGAUUCUUUGCAAUAUUGGAAAUUGAUGCAGGAAAUAUACCCACAUCUUCAUCAACUUGCACUUAAAACUCUCUGCUCACCAUCAUCGUCUGUUCCAUGCAAAAGAGUAUUUUCCAAGGCUGGGGAGCUGGUGUGUAAGAGGAGCAAAGAGACUCC